CCGAUCUUCAACAUGUGUCACUGGAGGAUAGCUCGACUGGACCAGCCUCAAUCCCGAACUGGUACUCUCUUUGGCCGACCUAUAGGUAGCUUGACCUCGAGAGUGAGAGACAUCUAUUGUGGAUCUGUACCCCGACCUUGAUCGAGACAUCCUCAGAUCCGAUUGAGCUAUAGGUGAUAGAUGCCCAACAAGGAUGUAGAUAGAUAUGACAGAAAGUCGAACACCCAGUCGGUAGCGAUUCCUAACUCCUCAGCCGCGGA
rnacentral:lncRNA from 1 species